rnacentral:rRNA from 1 species
AUACGGGGGGGGCAAGCGUUGUUCGGAAUUACUGGGCGUAAAGGGCUCGUAGGUGGCCAACUAAGUCAGACGUGAAAUCCCUCGGCUUAACCGGGGAACUGCGUCUGAUACUGGAUGGCUUGAGAUUGGGAGAGGGAUGCGGAAUUCCAGGUGUAGCGGUGAAAUGCGUAGAUAUCUGGAGGAACACCGGUGGCGAAGGCGGCAUCCUGGACCAACACUGACACUGAGGAGCGAAAGCCAGGGGAGCAAACGG